rnacentral:rRNA from 1 species
UACGUAGGAGGCGAGCGUUGUUCGGAGUUACUGGGCGUAAAGGGUGUGUAGGCGGUUCUUUAAGUUUGGUGUGAAAUCUCCCGGCUCAACCGGGAGGGUGCGCCGAAUACUGAGGGACUAGAGUACGGGAGAGGAAAGUGGAAUUCCUGGUGUAGCGGUGAAAUGCGUAGAUAUCAGGAGGAACACCGGUGGUGUAGACGGCUUUCUGGACCGUAACUGACGCUGAGACACGAAAGCGUGGGUAGCAAACAGG